GGGGUUGUGGCUCAGUGGUAGAGUGCUUACCUCCCAUGUGUGAGGCCCUGGGUUCAAUCCUCAGCACCACA
rnacentral:tRNA from 1 species